rnacentral:rRNA from 1 species
AUUGAACGCUGGCGGCAUGCUUUACACAUGCAAGUCGAACGGCAGCGGGGAGGAGCUUGCUUCUCUGCCGGCGAGUGGCGAACGGGUGAGUAAUACAUCGGAACGUGUCGAGAAGAGGGGGAUAACCACCCGAAAGGGUGGCUAAUACCGCAUAAAUUCUGAGGAAGAAAGCUGGGGACCUAGGAAUAGGCCUAGCGCUUUUUGAGCGGCCGAUGUCGGAUUAGCUAGUUGGUGAGGUAAAGGCUCACCAAGGCGAAGAUCUGUAGCGGGUCUGAGAGGAGGAUCCGCCACACUGGGACUGAGACACGGCCCAGACUCCUACGGGAGGCAGCAGUGGGGAAUUUUGGACAAUGGGGGCAACCCUGAUCCAGCCAUGCCGCGUGUAUGAAGAAGGCCUUAGGGUUGUAAAGUACUUUUGUUAGGGAAGAAAAGUCAGCUGUGAAUAAUGGCUGAUACUGACGGUACCUAAAGAUUAAGCACCGGCUAACUACGUG